rnacentral:rRNA from 1 species
AGAGGGUGCGAGCGUUAAUCGGAAUUACUGGGCGUAAAGAGCACGUAGGUGGGUGCUUGAGUCGGAUGUGAAAGCCCUGGGCUUAACCCAGGAAUUGCAUUCGAUACUGGGCACCUAGAGUAUAGUAGAGGGAAGUGGAAUUUCCGGUGUAGCGGUGAAAUGCGUAGAUAUCGGAAGGAACAUCAGUGGCGAAGGCGACUUCCUGGACUAAUACUGACACUGAGGUGCGAAAGCGUGGGGGGAGCAAACAGGAUUAGAGACCCUGGUAGUCCACGCCGUCAACGAUGAGAACUAGACGUUGGAAGGUUUACCUUUUAGUGUCGCAGCAAACGCGAUAAGUUCUCCGCCUGGGGAUACGGCCGCAAGGCUA